UUCUGUAAGCCUGUGAAGGUGGCCUGUGAGGGUUGCUGGAGGUAUCAGAAGUGCGAAUGCUGACAUAAGUAACGAUAAAGCGGGUGAAAAGCCCGCUCGCCGGAAGACCAAGGGUUCCUGUCCAACGUUAAUCGGGGCAGGGUGAGUCGACCCCUAAGGCGAGGCCGAAAGGCGUAGUCGAUGGGAAACGGGUUAAUAUUCCCGUACUUGGUGUUACUGCGAAGGGGGGACGGAGAAGGCUAUGUUGGCCGGGCGACGGUUGUCCCGGUUUAAGCGUGUAGGUGUGUGUUCCAGGUAAAUCCGGUUCACUUUAACACUGAGGCGUGAUGACGAGGCACUACGGUGCUGAAGCAACAAAUGCCCUGCUUCCAGGAAAAGCCUCUAAGCAUCAGGUAACAUCAAAUCGUACCCCAAACCGACACAGGUGGUCAGGUAGAGAAUACCAAGGCGCUUGAGAGAACUCGGGUGAAGGAACUAGGCAAAAUGGUGCCGUAACUUCGGGAGAAGGCACGCUGACACGUAGGUGAAGUGAUUUACUCAUGGAGCUGAAGUCAGUCGAAGAUACCAGCUGGCUGCAACUGUUUAUUAAAAACACAGCACUGUGCAAACACGAAAGUGGACGUAUACGGUGUGACGCCUGCCCGGUGCCGGAAGGUUAAUUGAUGGGGUCAGCGCAAGCGAAGCUCCUGAUCGAAGCCCCGGUAAACGGCGGCCGUAACUAUAACGGUCCUAAGGUAGCGAAAUUCCUUGUCGGGUAAGUUCCGACCUGCACGAAUGGCGUAAUGAUGGCCAGGCUGUCUCCACCCGAGACUCAGUGAAAUUGAACUCGCUGUGAAGAUGCAGUGUACCCGCGGCAAGACGGAAAGACCCCGUGAACCUUUACUAUAGCUUGACACUGAACAUUGAGCCUUGAUGUGUAGGAUAGGUGGGAGGCUUUGAAGUGUGGACGCCAGUCUGCAUGGAGCCGGCCUUGAAAUACCACCCUUUAAUGUUUGAUGUUCUAACGUGGACCCGUGAUCCGGGUUGCGGACAGUGUCUGGUGGGUAGUUUGACUGGGGCGGUCUCCUCCUAAAGAGUAACGGAGGAGCACGAAGGUUGGCUAAUCCUGGUCGGACAUCAGGAGGUUAGUGCAAUGGCAUAAGCCAGCUUGACUGCGAGCGUGACGGCGCGAGCAGGUGCGAAAGCAGGUCAUAGUGAUCCGGUGGUUCUGAAUGGAAGGGCCAUCGCUCAACGGAUAAAAGGUACUCCGGGGAUAACAGGCUGAUACCGCCCAAGAGUUCAUAUCGACGGCGGUGUUUGGCACCUCGAUGUCGGCUCAUCACAUCCUGGGGCUGAAGUAGGUCCCAAGGGUAUGGCUGUUCGCCAUUUAAAGUGGUACGCGAGCUGGGUUUAGAACGUCGUGAGACAGUUCGGUCCCUAUCUGCCGUGGGCGCUGGAGAACUGAGGGGGGCUGCUCCUAGUACGAGAGGACCGGAGUGGACGCAUCACUGGUGUUCGGGUUGUCAUGCCAAUGGCACUGCCCGGUAGCUAAAUGCGGAAGAGAUAAGUGCUGAAAGCAUCUAAGCACGAAACUUGCCCCGA
rnacentral:rRNA from 1 species